rnacentral:tRNA from 1 species
ACUAAGGUGGCAGAGCCCGGAAAUUGCAAAAGGCCUAAGCCCUUUCCACCGGAGGUUCAAGUCCUCCCCUUAGUU